AUCAAUCACCAAACAAACACACAACAAAUUAUUGCUAUUAUUUGUGCCCUCUUUCUCUUCCCUCCAUCAUUGCUCUUCAAAAAUCAGUUUUUCCUCCCUCCGGUUACUAGCAGUUUUGCAGUUAACAACAAAAACACCAACAUGACAAAUCACCAACAAAACCAACACCCUCUAACACCAACACCAAUCAUUAACCAAAACCAGGGUAAAGAGCAGUUGGACUCUGAGGGAUCAUCGCCUCUAACAGUUACUUCCCGGGUUUUGUAUAUGUUGGGAGACAUCACUGCAGGGCCUGCACAUAUGUUCACUCAAUGGGUUCAAUCUGUUCGAAAACGCGCUUCCGAUCAUCGCUCUUCUGGAUUCCCUCGCUCUUCUUCCUCCAUCACGCCCUUUUGGUUUGGAGAAUCUGCAGAGGAUGCAAAAAUUGAUGACAUGCCUGAUCAAACUGAAAUUAGUUUGUGGGAUAGGCUUGGUAAAGCUGAAAUGUUGGACAUUGAAUCGAGUUCCUUUUCUUGGGAUAUGCUCUCGUCACUUCACCACACUGAGCAUACUAGUAGCAAUGAACAUUCCGAGGAUGAAAUGAAUAGAGCUCUUGAGCUAACCGUAAAUUCUGGAGGGGUUGUCUUCUUUGCCCUUUUCAAUGUCCAUGGGAGUGAUGAUGCAUCUCCAAAAGAAGCAGCAGCUGUCAUAAAGAUAUCUUCGUCAAGAAUGGCAACACAGUCCGAACGUCUCGGAUAUGAAUUUGCCAAGUGGUUGGGAGUCCAAACGCCACAGGCUAGAGUCAUUCACAAUACCAGUUUAGAAUGGCUCCAAAUAAAAGAAGCUGCAGAAAAAGCAAGGGAUGCAGCAAGUUGUGAGAGUGAUGCAAUUGGUGAAAGGACAUGUUCAGAACUUUUGGAAGCACUUGAGCUUAGCCGGUGUCUCUUGUUUAUAAGUUAUGUACAUGGUUCACCUUUGCUUGAAAGCUGUAAUGCAUUUGAAUCACAGGAUUCUGCAGAAAAAGUAUCAGCAGCCCUUGGCAGGGUAAUGAUGCUAGAUCUUGUUAUCAGAAAUGAAGAUAGGCUUCCAUGCCGUCAACUUAGAUGGCGUGGGAACCCUGCCAAUUUGUUAUUGGCUGAUAAGACAAUCUCUUCAAAUUUAGAUACAAUAGGAGAAGCCUUUGAUUUUGAAAUGAACCGAUAUGGGCCCGGGGUGGUUGGGACACUUCAGAAAGAAAGAAGGUCAACUUCAGUAGUUAGCAGAUCGAGUUCUCACAAUCAUGGAAUAAAAUCACAAGGCUCUCUUCUUUCACAGAUAAGUGAAUCAUCUGAUGACUUGUGCCUUAAAAGUCAAAAGUCAGAAGAAUCAUUGUUUACUGGCUCUAAGAUUGUGGCUAUUGACUCUGGUGUUCCUCGUCGACCCCCUGCUGGAAAACGUGCAGAUGAUCAGGUCAAUUAUCCUAAGUUGGUUGAGUUGAUACUAAAUAGCUCUGAAUUUUCCUCUUGCUUGUUAUAUGAUAUAACUGGAGGGAAAUUAGGAAGUCCUCCCUUAGAAGACAUAAAUACAACAGUCGAUGUACAAGGAAGUGAAGCAGCAUCAAUAGUUCACGAGUUCCGCAAUGGUUUUCGUGCUGCUCUUAGGGAUCUGCAAGGAUUUCAUAUAUUCCUACUUACACUUCACAAAAAACUUGAUAAUGUGUUACGAUCAUUUAAUAAUACUAUAAGCAAAAUACCAUUGGGGGACUCUGAAAAAGAAGAUUCACCGUCACCCGCUGCUGGUAGUUGUCUUUCUCCAACAAGUAAGGAGAGAUUUUCUAAUGACAGCCAUCGAGAUUUCAGUGAGACAGAUUCACAGAGAUCUGCUCCAAGGGCAUCACCAUCUUCAGGCAAUAGAGAUUUUUGUGAUUCUGCUUCUCCUAUGUCAAGAGAAGGUUGGCAUGGAAAAUCCUCUAAAGGAAGCGCGGAACCAUUGCUUGGUUCCCGUUUUACAGCCAAGCUCCGUGACUUUCAUAAAUUUGCCAAGGUUGAUGCAGAAUCUUAUAAAGAAUUGGAACACUGGAAUGAAAUGCUUAAAAAUGAUGCUAUCAAGUUUUGCCAGGAGAACAAUUUCAAUUCAGGAUUUUUUGAGGGUAGUGAUAGCAACACUGUUGUUGAUGCAUAUGAAUUGAAGGUUAGACUUGAGCACAUCCUUGAAAGGAUUACAUUGAUAUCCGAGGCUGCAAAUACAGAGAGACCAUCUGCUGUUACAAGUAAUUUGUUCAUCGGUGGAGCACAAUCUGCAAGAUCUGUAUACACAAUGCAACACUUGGGAAUCACUCAUAUUUUGUGUUUGUGUACUAAUGAAAUUGGACAAUCAGAUUCCCAAUUUCCUGAUCUGUUUACUUACAAAAAUUUCUCGGUGUGUGAUACUGAGAAUUCUGACAUCGGCGUCUUAUUUGACGAAGCUUGUGAUUUUAUAGAAGAUGUUGAGAAAGGAGGUCAGAGAGUUUUAGUUCAUUGCUUCGAAGGGAAAAGCAGAAGUGUCACUGUGCUCCUUGCUUACUUGAUUCUCAGAAAGAAUUUCACAUUAUUAGAAGCAUGGAAUGCUAUGAGAAAAGUUCACCGUCGAGCGCAGCCUAAUGAUGGUUUUGCAAAGAUCUUACAAGAACUUGAUAAAAAACUGCACGGGAAAGUUUCGAUGGAGUGGCAGCGGCGGAAACCAACAAUGAAAGUUUGUCCUAUAUGUGGCAAGAAUGCUGGACUGAGCAGCAGCUCACUUAAGCUACAUCUUCAGAAAUCUCAUAAAAGGCUAUCAUCAGGGAGUGUUGAUAGUGCCAUGACAAUGGAAAUCCAAAAGGCAUUAACCACUUUGAAUAUUAGCCGUGGUGGGAGUGUGAGCCCCAAACAAAGGCAAACUCACUCUAUGACAGACUAAUAUAUUUCUCUUUCUCUUGCAAUAAAAGAAAAAGAGGGUUAAAGCCCAAAACGAAAAGAACUAUAGAGUCAAACGAAUAUUCCCAGGCAUGCAAUCCCCGGAAAAAUCAUCAAAAAGGAGUCUCGAAACCUCACUGGGAGGAUUCUCCAUAACAUGAAUAUUAAAAGAGUCUAAGGAGAAGUUAAAAUUAGCCAGCCAAUCAGCACUUCUAUUCCCCUCCCGCCAGAGAUUUUGAGUCGCUUUCCACUUCCAGAUGAUGGAAACCCUGACUCCAAGCAAGCUUCAUUCCAAAGUACAUUCCCCACAUUUUAGCGCAAAGAGCGUCACAAGUUCCAAUUUUUCGCGCAUAUCCUUUAAUCCAUCUACCAUCAGAGUUCCGAAAGAGUCCACCACAACCAGCUAGACCCAAAGAAUUUUUGAAGGCUCCGUCACAGUUAAGCUUGAUCCACCCCUCCCGAGGUCUUUUCCAUCAAUGAAAAUAGUGUCGCAUCGACGGGUAUUCAAAGGAUGUCUGGUGUAAUUAUCUAUAUCAUCAACCAUCUUGAGAAUCUGAAAAUUGGAUCAGUCGGACGCUAAAAUUCCUCGAAUAUAUUUUUGUUCCUCCACAUCCGUAUGUACCAACACGCCACCAUAAAAGUUGUUAUCCACUUCUUAUUCUGAUUAUUGAUAUUCUUGAAGAUCCAAUCCCUGCAUUCAAGAGAGAAAAAAUUAGAGAUAU